UACGUAGGGUGCGAGCGUUAAUCGGAAUUACUGGGCGUAAAGCGUGCGCAGGCGGUUCGUUGUGUCUGUGGUGAAAGCCCCGGGCUCAACCUGGGAAUGGCGAUGGAUACUGGCUCGCUAGAGUGCGGUAGAGGAGAGUGGAAUUCCCGGUGUAGCAGUGAAAUGCGUAGAGAUCGGGAGGAACAUCAGUUGCGAAGGCGGCUCUCUGGACCAGCACUGACACUGAGGCACGAAGGCCAGGGGAGCAAACGGG
rnacentral:rRNA from 1 species